rnacentral:rRNA from 1 species
GACGAACGCUGGCGGCGUGCCUAAUACAUGCAAGUCGAGCGGAUCUUGUCCUUCGGGAUAAGGUUAGCGGCGGACGGGUGAGUAACACGUAGGCAACCUGCCCUCGAGACUGGGAUAACCUCCGGAAACGGAUGCUAAUACCAGAUACGCGAUCUUCCCACCUGGGGAGAUCGGGAAAGACGGAGCAAUCUGUUACUCGGGGAUGGGCCUGCGGCGCAUUAGCUAGUUGGUGAGGUAACGGCUCACCAAGGCGACGAUGCGUAGCCGACCUGAGAGGGUGAUCGGCCACACUGGGACUGAGACACGGCCCAGACUCCUACGGGAGGCAGCAGUAGGGAAUCUUCCGCAAUGGACGAAAGUCUGACGGAGCAACGCCGCGUGAGUGAGGAAGGCCUUCGGGUCGUAAAGCUCUGUUGCCAGGGAAGAACGCUUGGGAGAGUAACUGCUCUCAAG